GCCCAGACUCCUACGGGAGGCAGCAGUGGGGAAUAUUGGACAAUGGGGGGAACCCUGAUCCAGCGACGCCGCGUGAGUGAAGAAGUAUUUCGGUAUGUAAAGCUCUAUCAGCAGGGAAGAAAGAAAUGACGGUACCUGACUAAGAAGCCCCGGCUAACUACGUGCCAGCAGCCGCGGUAAUACGUAGGGGGCAAGCGUUAUCCGGAUUUACUGGGUGUAAAGGGAGCGCAGACGGCAGUGCAAGUCUGGAGUGAAAGCCCGGGGCCCAACCUCGGGACUGCUCUGGAAACUGUACGUCUGGAGUACGGGAGGGGCAGGCGGAAUUCCUAGUGUAGCGGUGAAAUGCGUAGAUAUUAGGAGGAACGCCGGCGGCGAAGGCGGCCUGCUGGACCGAAACUGACGUUGAGGCUCGAACGCGUGGGGAGCAACCAGGAUUAGAUACCCCGGUAA
rnacentral:rRNA from 1 species